CUUGGUCAUUUAGAGGAGAUAAAAGUCGUAACAAGGUCUCCGUGGUGAACCAGCGGAGGGAUCAUUACCGAGUACUAUAACUCAUAACCCUUUGUGAACCUUUAUACCUGUUGCUUCGGCGGCGCGCCUCCCGGGGCGUGCCCGCCGGUAUUAUCAGAAUCUCUGUUCGAACCCGACGAUACAUCUGAGUGUUCUAAGCGAACUGUUAAAACUUUCAACAACGGAUCUCUUGGCUCCAGCAUCGAUGAAGAACGCAGCGAAACGCGAUAUGUAAUGUGAAUUGCAGAAUUCAGUGAAUCAUCGAAUCUUUGAACGCACAUGGCGCCUUCCAGUAUCCUGGGAGGCAUGCCUGUCCGAGCGUCGUUUCAACCCUCGAGCCCCCGUGGCCCGGCGUUGGGGAUCUGCCCAGGCAGUCCCCGAAAACCAGUGGCGGACCCGUUGGGCCCUUCCUUUGCGUAGUAACAUCUGCCUCGCAUCGGGAGCCUGCGGGCUAUCCGGCCUCUAAACCCCCCUCAAGCCCGCUCCGGCGGCACCAAGGUUGACCUCGGAUCAGGUAGGAAUACCCGCUGAACUUAAGCAUAUCAAUAAGCGGAGGAAAAGAAACCAACAGGGAUUGCCUCAGUAACGGCGAGUGAAGCGGCAACAGCUCAAAUUUGAAAUCUGGCUCCUUCGGGGCCCGAGUUGUAAUUUGCAGAGGAUGCUUCGGGUACGGGUUCCUUCCGAGUUCCCUGGAACGGGACGCCAUAGAGGGUGAGAGCCCCGUCUGGUAGGACACCCAGCCCGUGUGAAGCUCCCUCGACGAGUCGAGUUGUUUGGGAAU
rnacentral:sRNA from 1 species